rnacentral:misc_RNA from 1 species
UCUCCGUUGGUGAACCAGCGGAGGGAUCAUUACGAAUGGGUCCAAAAGACUCUUUAAACCUACCGUGCUCCCUUUUGAGGUUAUCAUGAAAGCCCUCCGGGGCAUAGGAAAUCUGAGAAAGCUCUGGAACUGCGCCCCGGCGCACGGACCAAUCAAUUACAACCCAUAACAAUGGAUCUCUUGGCUCUGGCAUCGAUGAAGAACGCAGC